AAGUGUAGCAAUACAUGAGUAAAGCGGCGCACGGGUGAGUAGCACGUGGAUAACCUGCCUCAAAGUGGGGAAUAACACCGGGAAACCGGUGCUAAUACCGCAUAUUCUGAUGAGAUCUGUGGAUUUUGUCAGUAAAGGAGCAAUUCGCUAUGAGAGGGGUCCGCGGCUGAUUAGCUAGUUGGUGAGGUAAUGGCUCACCAAGGCAACGAUCAGUAGCCGGUCUGAGAGGACGGUCGGCCACACUGGAACUGAGACACGGUCCAGACUCCUACGGGAGGCAGCAGUGGGGAAUUUUUCGCAAUGGGGGCAACCCUGACGAAGCAAUGCCGCGUGGAUGAUGAAGUAUUUCGGU
rnacentral:rRNA from 1 species